CUGUUGUAUAUUGCUCUAAAGUUUAUUAUCAAUCUUCGUGAAAUUUAGUAGUGUUAGCAAAGCAAAAGUUGUAGUUUAGUGAACUUUACUAUCAAAUCAAGUUGAAUUACCUUUUGUACCACACUCAACGCGAAGGCAGAACAUAACCGUGCACUCAACCGUAUACUGACGGUAGUUUAUACGGCAUAGUUCAGGAGUAAAGAAAUAGCGAAGGAACGAACGGAAAUAGGAUCAGCAAGGAUUCGGAUUCGUAAGGAAGUGAGAAACUAUUUG